rnacentral:rRNA from 1 species
AAAAAGCUUCAAACUGGGAUUAGAUACCCCACUAUGCCUAGCCAUAAACAUUGAUAGCGAAACUACACCUGCUAUCCGCCUGGGAACUACGAGCAUCAGCUUGAAACCCAAAGGACUUGGCGGUGCUUUAGAUCCACCUAGAGGAGCCAUGUUCUAGAACCGAUUACCCCCGUUCAACCUCACCUUUUCUUGUUUUCUCCGCCUAUAUACCACCGUCGUCAGCUUACCCUGUGAAGGACUCAUAGUAAGCAAGAUUGGCAUAGCCCAAAACGUCAGGUCGAGGUGUAGCGUAUGGAAAGGGAAGAAAUGGGCUACAUUCCCUAACACAGUGAAUUACGAACGAUACAUUGAAAUAUCUAUCUGAAGGAGGAUUUAGCGGUAAGCAGAAAAUAGAGCGUUCCGCAAUGAAACCGGCCCUGAAGCGCGCACACACCGCCCGUCACCCUCUGCAGUCA